rnacentral:rRNA from 1 species
CACACCGCCCGUCACACCACGAAAGCCGGUUGUACCAGAAGUCGCUGAGCCAACCGCAAGGAUGCAGGCGCCGAAGGUAUGGUCGGUGAUUGGGGUGAAGUCGUAACAAGGUACCC